rnacentral:sRNA from 1 species
AUUACUGUUUUCCCUGUUGGACAUAUAAGGAAGUUGAAGUAUAUAGAGGGAAAGCAAAACAAAAUUUGUUUGGACAAAACAGAAAUUUUUCCAAUGGCCAUGUAGUUUGUGAAAAAAAGCAGCAGCUGGAGUUGGAUUCUAUUGUAGAAGAAACCCUAACAGGAGAUUAUGCCUUAAUCAUAAAUGGCCACAGUUUGGCUCAUGCCCUAGAAAGUGAUGUCAAGAAUGAUCUCCUAGAACUUGCUUGCAUGUGUAAGACUGUAAUUUGCUGCAGGGUCACUCCACUCCAGAAAGCCCAAGUGGUAGAGCUGGUGAAGAAGUACAGAAAUGCUGUUACUUUGGCCAUUGGUGAUGGGGCCAAUGAUGUCAGCAUGAUUAAAAGUGCUCACAUUGGUAUUGGCAUCAGCGGCCAGGAAGGAUUGCAAGCAGUCUUAGCCAGCGACUAUUCAUUUGCACAGUUUAGAUAUCUCCAAAGGCUUCUCCUUGUUCAUGGAAGGUGGUCUUAUUUCCGAAUGUGCAAAUUCUUAUGCUAUUUCUUCUAUAAGAAUUUUGCAUUUACACUUGUGCAUUUCUGGUUUGGUUUCUUCUGUGGUUUCUCAGCCCAGACUGUUUAUGACCAGUGGUUCAUCACCCUUUUUAACAUUGUUUACACAUCACUGCCUGUUUUAGCCAUGGGGAUUUUUGACCAGGAUGUGAGUGACCAGAACAGCAUGGACUGUCCCCAGCUCUACAAACCGGGACAGCUGAAUCUGCUUUUUAACAAGCGUAAAUUUUUCAUUUGCGUGUUGCAUGGAAUCUACACCUCAUUAGUCCUUUUCUUCAUCCCCUAUGGGGCCUUUUACAACGUGGCUGGAGAAGAUGGGCAACAUAUUGCUGACUACCAGUCCUUUGCAGUUACCAUGGCCACAUCUUUGGUCAUUGUGGUCAGUGUGCAGAUAGCCUUGGAUACCAGUUACUGGACUUUCAUUAAUCACGUCUUCAUCUGGGGGAGCAUUGCCAUUUAUUUCUCCAUUUUAUUUACAAUGCACAGUAAUGGCAUCUUUGGCAUCUUCCCAAACCAGUUUCCAUUUGUUGGUAAUGCACGACAUUCCCUGACCCAGAAGUGCAUCUGGCUUGUAAUUCUCUUAACAACAGUGGCUUCGGUUAUGCCAGUGGUGGCAUUCAGAUUUUUGAAGGUGGAUUUAUACCCAACCCUGAGUGAUCAGAUCCGCCGGUGGCAGAAGGCUCAAAAGAAGGCAAGGCCUCCAAGUAGCCGAAGGCCUCGGACCCGCAGGUCAAGCUCAAGAAGGUCUGGAUAUGCUUUUGCUCACCAAGAAGGCUAUGGAGAGCUUAUCACAUCUGGAAAAAAUAUGCGAGCUAAAAAUCCACCCCCAACAUCAGGGCUGGAAAAGACACAUUAUAAUAGCACUAGCUGGAUUGAAAAUUUAUGUAAGAAAACCACAGACACAGUGAGCAGCUUUAGCCAGGAUAAAACAGUGAAACUGUGAGUCAAUAUGAAUUUAAACCACAUAGUUAUCUUUUCACUUCAGGUGGAGCUGAAAUUCUGCUGGCUCCAGAGUUUGAGAUUUGAGGCAAGAGGUGGGGCAGGCAGAUUGCCUCACUUAACUUAAAUCUGCGGCAGACAACUGCCAGUGCCCAUCAAACAGGAGUGUGCGCUAUGGAAAACCAGGCCAGAGGGUCACUGUCUAGUUUGUGAUUUGGUGGACAAAACACUCGCUGUUACAAGUACAGAUUUUUUUUUUUUAAUCAACCUAGAUACCAUUUGACCUGAACUUUAGAAUCUUAUUUAUGGAGAAAAACUUGUAAAGCUGCAUAUUCACUGAAUGGAUCCUCAGGCGGAUAAAAGGGUGCAUUUUAAAGGUAUAUAUCCAAGCUGAAAAGCAUGCCUAUUGACAGAUAAACAUGUAUCUGUAAGAUCAGCCUUUCCCAAGGUAUACUUUUACAAUUUAAAGCGUGUACUGUGUUGCUUUCAGACUGAGUUGCAUGUCACUCUUUAGUCUUGAUAUCUACCUGUCUGUUCAGCCAGGACAACAAAUGGCUUCCAAGCCUGAAGAAUACAAAAGUGUGCUUGUGUUUCUCAUUUUUAUACCAGUCUAGGGACAAAGGAGACUGAACAUCUUUGCAGCAGGAUAGGCUGGUAAUUUGAUCAAAUUUAUUCAAAAAGCUCUCAGUCUGUGUCAUGUAAGGACAUGCUUAUGAAAUGUGAGAGAGGCUCGCCACUAAGUAUUCUAAAUACUUUUCAAUGGCUUUUCUAACAACCUCAGUAGUAAUUUGCUGAGCAUCAUCCAGACCAUUAAUAGAAUCAGCAAAGCACUGGAAUUUCACACUUUAAUGAUAAUAUUCCAUAUAGUCUAUGGGCAAAUAUUUUCAACAUUUCCAAUUUUUAAAGCUUCAGAAUUGAAGCCAAACAAAUUAAUAAAUAAUUGUUUAAAUUACUAUUUAAAAACUCAGGUUUAGAUUGUUUAAAAUUAGUUGCUUUUGAUACUCAGCUGUCAUGUUUAUAAUUCAAACAUGUAGUAAACAUAUGUAGGUAAGGUUGUUUUUUUGGAGAUGUUGCAGCUCAAAUUUCAGUCCACAUAUGAAUCAUCAGUGUAUUUUCCAUAAAGUGAUUCGGGCAUAUUUGUGUGAAAACCUCAGUUCUGUCACUUCUUACCUCUAUAAACUUGGACGAUAAUG